GGUUAGCUCAGUGGGUAGAGUGUGUGCCUCACACGCACGACACCCUGGGUUCAGCCCCCAGCACCA
rnacentral:tRNA from 1 species